rnacentral:rRNA from 1 species
CCUACGGGUGGCAGCAGUGAGGAAUAUUGGUCAAUGGCCGAGAGUCUGAACCAGCCAAGUCGCGUGAGGGAAGAAUGUCCUAUGGAUUGUAAACCUCUUUUGUCAGGGAGCAAAGUCACCCACGUGUGGGUGUUGGCGCGUACCUGAAGAAAAAGCAUCGGCUAACUCCGUGCCAGCAGCCGCGGUAAUACGGAGUAUGCGAGCGUUAUCCGGAUUUAUUGGGUUUAAAGGGUGCGUAGGCGGGUUAUCAAGUCAGCGGUAAAAUCGUGGAGCUCAACUCCAUCCAGCGGUUGAAACUGAUGAUCUGGAGUGGGCGAGAAGUAUGCGGAAUGCGUGGUGUAGCGGUGAAAUGCAUAGAUAUCACGCAGAACUCCGAUUGCGAAGGCAGCAUACCGGCGCCCGACUGACGCUGAAGCACGAAAGCGUGGGUAUCGAACAGGAUUAGAUACCCGAGUAGUC